GCGGGUUGCCGCUGGGGAUGGGGCGCCGCGCAGAGCUCAGGCACGGCGGGAGGAGGAGGAGGAGGAGAAGGAGGAGGAGGAGGAGGCAAGAGGCGCCAGGAUGCGGGAAGCCAGACCCUCCAUACGGGAGACGGCUUUUGGAUGACUGAACUCCCAAACAAUUCCCUGCUCUGCCUACUCCUGCCCCAAAGCCGCCCUCCUCCCUUCUCCUCCCCUCCCCCUGAGGAGGAGAGGAGGAGCCAAAGGAGGGAGAAAACGCAAACUCAAACCCCUUCCCCAAAAGCCAGGCAGCGAGCUCUCCUCCUCGUUCGUCUGUAGUCAUACAAACGCGCAACCCCCCCACACCCUCCCCAGCCCGCUAAUAGCACUAACCGGCAUCAUCUGGCUGGUGCCUACCCCCGCAGGAGGCCGCCGGCCCCCGCUGGGCCGCUCGCCGCCGCCCGCCACGCUCCCCCCGGCAGGCGGAAGCGGCAAAGUCGGGCCGAGAAGUUCGCGCUGCGCCGGCCGGGGCCGGGGGGCGGCGGGGCCGGGGAGGCACCGGGCCCAGAGGGGCGCAGAGUUGGGGUGGCAGCCGCUAGGCCUCACUGGCUCACCCGGGCCGGCACAGAGUCUCCCGGGUGCCCCCGCACCAAGGGCCGUCCCACCUCAUCUGGCUGGGACAUCGGGCAGCGCCCGAUCACGUAGACGGGGCCUUAGCAGUCCUCACUCGUAACGGGAUGCUGAGGACACCUUGCCUGUACAUCUGCCCCUGCAUCACCAGACGCUUGCAAAAAGAAGGCUGGAGCAACCAUAUGUGAGCCUGCUCAGCCCAGGGUCCUGCUCUCCUCCGGACUCUGGUGGUGGCAUGCUGCUGGGUGGGAUUUGGGCUUCUUGGCUUCCAAGUGAAUAUGUAUUGAUGGCUCUUCAACUUGCAUUUGAAUAGGUAGUCUUAUCUGGUUGAACAUAAACUUCUUCCCCCUGCAAUGGUAACUUUGCUGUCUAAUUACCUUUUACAGAACUGUUCCCCAGAUUCCAGGAUUUUCCUCAUGCUUCUCAGUAACACAGUCCUCAGGUGCUAAAUCCACAUGUAGACACCUCACUAAAUGGCCUAAUUUUUACAAGAGCUGAGACCUCUAGCACCUGCCCCGUCUGAAAAACAGGGGUUUCCUAAUUUAGAGCAGUCGUAAACUGUCCUAAAUUAAAACAGAAAUUGAAUUAGCCCUGGCUAGUGUUAGGCUAAAAAAGGUGGGAAGAAACAGGUUAGUGGUGAGAGCAGAGUUGGUGCUACCUUGUGCAAAGAAGUGCGCCCAGGGCCUGUUUAAUGCUAGGGGGAUAAAAGCUUGCAGCUCUGCAGAUUUACAUUCCAUCUCUGUCCCCAGGGAGGAGGAAAAUGUGAGGUACAGAGUACUGAUCUUUCCACCUGCCUCAGUCAUUAUCCCUGGAAUAAAUGCCUUGGGGAUGAAGCAGGAUGUUGAUCUGUGUGGCCAUGUCCCCCCAGCAUCCCCAGACAAACCAGUGGCAUUCCUACUUGCAGGCAGUUGCCCUGUUACUAUGUCAGGGAUGCUGACUUUAGGCUGGCAGCCAUUUAUUUCAAAUUCCCCACCAGAACUGACUUCUGGGUGCCACUGGCCUGGAUGAAGCUCUAAGUAUUGUGAACACUGAACCCCCUUCCUUCAGCCCCAUUCCCUCAGGCAUAAACAAGCUUUUACUGAGGACACUGACUAGGCACACAGUGCAGCUGACUGGGGGACCUGAGUGCCAGAACCCCCCAAUUCUCAGCUACCUGCUUGCCUAGAUCAGCCCCAUCCUUCUCUGAUUUCAGAUGAAAUUCCCACUGCUGCCGCCUUCGGAUGCAAAGGCUCCUCCUCGGGGCUGCAGAAACUCCAGCUGUUUGAUAUUGUGCUAAGCAAGGCAGGGGGCACGGAGGGACUCUGCAUGAAAGGGCGAGCUCAAAGGAAACCGGACUCUGGCAUGUCGGCGUGAUACUCAGAUCAUACUUUCCUUCCUCAGAGCUUAGCAAUAACUCUCUUACAGUUUAAAGCUUCUCAUGCAGUGAAAGCCAGCGCAACCCCAUCUGUGAUCAUGAUCACACACCUCACUGCCAAUGCUGGAUAUGAGAAGUUCUGAGACUGGAUACAAGAGCACUGUGAACCUGCCAUGUGCAGAAAGAGGUAGUGGGUGUCCCCCUGCUUUAGGGUUCAUCACCAAAAUUUCUCUGAGAGGAAUGAUAAGAAAUCACAGUAUCACAGUAUCACCAAGGUUGGAAGAGACCUCACAGAUCAUCAAGUCCAACCCUUUACCACAGAGCUCAAGGCUAGACCAUGGCACCAAGUGCCACGUCCAAUCCUGCCUUGAACAGCUCCAGGGACAGCGACUCCACCACCUCCCUGGGCAGCCCAUUUCAGUAUCCAAUGACUCUCUCAGUGAAGAACUUUCUCCUCACCUCGAGCCUAAAUGCUCCCUGAUGGUAAAAGCAAGAUCAUGCAUGUCAUCUGUUACCGUGUUAGCGUUGCUAUGUGCUAUUAAAUAGGUGUUUUGUGA